rnacentral:tRNA from 1 species
AUUUCAAUAGUUUAAUUGUAAAAUAUAACUUUGAAGAAGUUAAGANUUUUUGAAAUG